rnacentral:tRNA from 1 species
GAGAGUAUAGCUCAGUGGUAGAGCAUGUGCUUUGCAUGCAUGAGGUCCUGGGUUCAAUCCCCAGUAUCGCCA